AAGAGAGUAAAACUUCUGCUAACAUCACGCGUAUAGGAAUCUAUCAUUAUCACCAAGUCAAAAAGAUUCUUCAGGACUGUGACAAGAAUCCAGUGGACGAACACCAACUGCUGUAUGACGAGCAAAAUCCGCUCUCGUUAUUUGCUUCAACUUACAUGCCAAGGCAUCUACUUGCUUGUUGACGUCUACAUUAGCAAAGUCAAAUUUUUAAAGAAGUCAAGAUUUGAACUCAGUAAAUUACUUGAGUUAUACGGCAAUGGUGAAAGCAAGACCAGCGAACCUGGUGAAGUUGGAUCAAAAGUUGACAGACCCGAAGGCUACGAACCAACAGUUCAAGCAUUAGUUUAUAUAAAUAGUAAUAUAUCAAAUUUUGUUAAUAUUCAAAAUAUAUGAGUUGAAUACUCAUGACUGCUAGUUAAUCAUAAAAAUUUGCGAAGAAUUCACAUCGUUAAAAAAUUUACGAACAUCAAAAUUUCUCAUGAAAUGUUUUCAUCAGAAAAUAAGAUAGAAAGUGGAAACAUACCUAUGGACAUUUGUAGGUUCUUAAAUUAUUUCUAAAUAAUAUUCAUUAGCACUGGUGACUGGCAUUAAAAUAUUGCCAGUUUAUCAUGGUAAUUUAACACAAAAUAAUAAGAUUCCACAAGAUGAUUGAAAAAAUGGAACAGACAAGAUUGAAUUACCACCAAAGUCUGGUUUUUACAUGGCUCAAGGUGUUUUUCUUAAUAUUCAACAAGAGACUGGAAACGAUUGGACUAAAAUCAUGUCGGAAACUAUCAAUGAAGUUUACGAAUCUAUAAUAAAAAACUUCUCAGCUCGUGGACGAUAUUCAACUAGCCAGCCAAAAAUUCAUGCCAAGUUAUUUAAUAACUUGUGAUUAAAUUAAAUAAAAAAUUUAUAUUGUGUUAGAUGCGAGUAGUGUAUUAACAGUCUUGUCGUACUAAAUAAAUUCCUUUUGAAAUUCACUAGUAGCAAGGUUUCUUGUACAUGCUAUGUCUUACAAAUUAGAGUAUAGACUAUGAACUGCUUUUACGCCAUAUUAUUUUACCUAAAUAAAUUUAUUGAUAGACGCUUGCAAAUUC